UGGUUUAGCACAUAGUAAAAAAACCAUAUCGAAAGUGAAAAAUGGGGAAGCAACGGGGAAGGGUCGGGCCAUUGUUAUUUAGCACCAAAGUGUCAUCUUUGAAACUAUACAAUGAUGAAAAUACCCCUAUUUUAUAAAGAGGAAACUAAGAAAAAGACGCCAAUCUCAAUCACUCACCCUCUUUUCCUUAACUUGCAAUCCACACUUCCCCGAGUCUCAUUUUAGCCCCCUUUUGUUUUAGCUGAAAGAGGUAGUUUCUGAAUUCUAAUCAAAUAUAUUUUUAGGGUCAUUUGUGUUAUAGUCUUUGCUUUCAGUCAUUGAAGAUGGCAGUGGUGCUGGCAAUGGUGGUUCAUGGCAUGGGAUUGCUUGUGAAGACUCUUUGGGGUGUGCAAGAGAGGCGCUUCUCUGCAACCUUUGAAACUAUGCGUUCAGCUGCUAUUUCCAUGACAACAGCGUUUGUUUUCUGCCUUUUGUCCAUUCAUAGGCAUGCAAGACCAGAGACUGGUCUUGCCUUCAUUUGAUCAUUUUUUUUUUCUUUUUCGUUCUUGAAUUUUAUUGACUGUCCAUCUAUCAGUAAUUUAAGAUCAGUUUGGUCUAUAGAAUUGCUUUCUUGUUGCACUUCAAGCUUUUCUUACUGAUCAACAAGAAGAUUCUAUGUCUAAUAUAUCAGAAUAUAUAUUCAUAUAUAUAUUUACCAGCAUUUUGUAAAAAUUUGGUCAUUAUUAGCAAAGAUUGAUGGAGUCAUUCAUGUAUUUUUCAAGUUGCAGUGUGGUUGUUAGUUAUAAACUUUUGUUGUAUUUUUUUUUAAAGAGAAUUUUCCAAGCAAUGAUAGUAAAUAUCUGUUUGUUGCAUAGCAGAUUUGGAGUUCGAAACUUAACAUCUGCAAACCAUUUGUCUCUGCAAAAUUAAGAUCAAAAGGGAAUAAUUUUGCAGAAUACGUGUUAGACUGGAUCAAUAUGCAAGUUUCGCCAGAGAUGAGAGAAUACCAUAUUUUCAGACAUGGGUUUAAAUGGUGAAUUUGUUUACUCCGACUCUUCAUUUCUUCUAAAGUAAUAGUGUUUGAGACCCGUCGAAGGAUCUCCAAGGAAAUAAUGAAAAUAAAAGUUGAACAAGCCCAUGGUAGACACAUAGCUACCUAUGGAUGAUUAAGCUA